CCUAACACAUGCAAGUCGAACGGUAACAGGAAACAGCUUGCUGUUUCGCUGACGAGUGGCGGACGGGUGAGUAAUGUCUGGGAAACUGCCUGAUGGAGGGGGAUAACUACUGGAAACGGUAGCUAAUACCGCAUAACGUCGCAAGACCAAAGAGGGGGACCUUCGGGCCUCUUGCCAUCGGAUGUGCCCAGAUGGGAUUAGCUAGUAGGUGGGGUAACGGCUCACCUAGGCGACGAUCCCUAGCUGGUCUGAGAGGAUGACCAGCCACACUGGAACUGAGACACGGUCCAGACUCCUACGGGAGGCAGCAGUGGGGAAUAUUGCACAAUGGGCGCAAGCCUGAUGCAGCCAUGCCGCGUGUAUGAAGAAGGCCUUCGGGUUGUAAAGUACUUUCAGCGGGGAGGAAGGGAGUAAAGUUAAUACCUUUGCUCAUUGACGU
rnacentral:rRNA from 1 species